rfam:Myotis davidii contig96622, whole genome shotgun sequence.
GACGGGUCUCAGGUGACUCAUCCUAGAAUGGGGCUCCCUCCUCUCUGGUUCCAGGGUGCGUCACCUGAGAACCUCA